rnacentral:rRNA from 1 species
AAUAGAUACCCGGGUAGUCCAUGCCGUAAACGUUGGGAACUAGAUGUGGGGACCAUUCCACGGUCUCCGUGUCGCAGCUAACGCAUUAAGUUCCCCGCCUGGGGAGUACGGCCGCAAGGCUAAAACUCAAAGGAAUUGACGGGGGCCCGCACAAGCGGCGGAGCAUGCGGAUUAAUUCGAUGCAACGCGAAGAACCUUACCAAGGCUUGACAUAUACGAGAACGCCGUAGAAAUACGGAACUCUUUGGACACUUGUAUACAGGUGGUGCAUGGUUGUCGUCAGCUCGUGUCGUGAGAUGUUGGGUUAAGUCCCGCAACGAGCGCAACCCUCGUCGUAUGUUGCCAGCACGUAAUGGUGGGAACUCAUACGAGACUGCCGGGGUCAACUCGGAGGAAGGUGGGGAUGAGGUCAAAUCAUCAUGCCCCUUAUGUCUUGGGCUUCACGCAUGCUACAAUGGCCGGUACAAAGGGCUGCAAUACCGCGAGGUGGAGCGAAUCCCAAAAAGCCGGUCUCAGUUCGGAUUGAGGUCUGCAACUCGA